AAAAAUUUAGUUAAACAUAUAACAUCAAUUUGUCAAAUUGAAAUAAAUAUUAAAUAUUAAUUUUUA
rnacentral:tRNA from 1 species